UCACAACCUUGAGAUAAAGUCACAUACUCUACCAUCUGA
rnacentral:snoRNA from 1 species